UAGAAGCAAGUUUCAAGGUACAAUUAAAGCAUACAGAACUAUCAUCUUGGUAAUUACGAUGGUUUCAUGUUUUGAUUUUUUUCUUUCACUGAACUUUGGCAAAAUGGCAAAGCGUUUCGUUUGGAGGACUGAUAAGCCUCAAGCUGAUCUGCCUCAGACACCAAACUCUCAAGUAAGAAUUGUAUCACGAGACCUUCCACGGGGGGGCAAUUAUUAGUUGUAACAUGCAGAUGCAGAUGCAGCACAUCAGUUACUGUAUAUCUCUUCAGAUCGAUGUGAUAAUAUAUAGGUUACUUAAGGUUUAGUUUCUCUGUCCCAGCCGGUUAAGUUUUAGAGAAUCUAUAGAAGAUAGAAGAUUUAGCUCCUUAAUUAUUGAUUAAGUGAAGUUAUAUCCUGAUGUUUUCUCUUUCACUUAGGGUGUAUCAAAGUUGUAAUUAAACUGUUGUAACAGUAUGUUAAUGGUCAGUUAGCUAUUAUGAAUACAAGUAAAAGUACGUAGUUUUAAUUA